rnacentral:rRNA from 1 species
CAGCAGCCACGGGAAUACGUAGGUGGCAAGCGUUGUCCGGAAUUAUUGGGCGUAAAGGGCUCGCAGGCGGUUUCUUAAGUCUGAUGUGAAAGCCCCCGGCUCAACCGGGGAGGGUCAUUGGAAACUGGGAAACUUGAGUGCGGAAGAGGAGAGUGGAAUUCCACGUGUAGCGGUGAAAUGCGUAGAGAUGUGGAGGAACACCAGUGGCGAAGGCGACUCUCUGGUCUGUAACUGACGCUGAGGAGCGAAAGCGUGGGGAGCGAACAGGAUUAGAUACCCGGGUAGUCCCUGUCUCUUAUAC